GGGUUCACUUUGGCAGCAUAUAUGCUAAAAUUGGAAAGAUUCAGAGAAUAUUAGCAUGGCCCCUGCACAAGGAUGGCAUGCAAUUUUUAAUUUGU
ensembl:snRNA U6 U6 spliceosomal RNA